rnacentral:rRNA from 1 species
CCUACGGGAGGCAGCAGUGAGGAAUAUUGCGCAAUGGGCGAAAGCCUGACGCAGCGACGCCGCGUGGGCGACGAAGGCCUUCGGGUUGUAAAGCCCUUUUGGCAGGGACGAGUGAGGACGGUACCUGCCGAAUAAGUCUCGGCUAACUACGUGCCAGCAGCCGCGGUAAAACGUAGGGGGCAAGCGUUGUUCGGAUUUACUGGGCGUAAAGAGCGCGUAGGCGGUUUGAUAAGUCAUGGGUGAAAGCCCUCAGCUCAACUGAGGUUACGCCCAUGAAACUGUCUGACUUGAGUUUAGGAGAGGAGAGCGGAAUUCCCAGUGUAGCGGUGAAAUGCGUAGAUAUUGGGAGGAACACCGGUGGCGAAGGCGGCUCUCUGGACUAAUACUGACGCUGAGGCGCGAAAGCUAGGGGAGCAAACGGGAUUAGAUCCCCCGUUAGU